UCGGCGUUAGUGUGCGUAGGAAAGUAUUUAAGUCUUGCAUAAAUCUCUAUGAUCACUUCGAAUGAUAUUCAUUUUGUGCCUUGUUCAAUUUGAAGAUAGUCAACACAACGGAGUUUCAUGUGCAGUGAAAAAGGCUUUUUAGAAGCAAACUUCCAAACUUAGAACAGCGUAGUUUAUGAUCAUCUUUUCAUAGAUGAAUACUGUAAAGGACGGGAUGGUGCGAGUGAGGAGUAUUCAGUGUCUGAUUUGAGCCGUCAUCACAAAAUCGAGCACGUGAAGACAAGACACUAGCACUGAAGUAUAGUGUCAAUGUGGAUGGUGAGAAAUAUCACUGCCAGGUCAUAUUUGUGUAAGUUGCAUGUCCGUGUCAAUAACGUAUGUCAGGACAGAUCACGUGAGAUGUAUGUCGAUGCAAUUCAAAGAUCAGCCGAAACCUUUUGUAAUGCUUGGUUCCAUUGUACCUUUGACAGUCAUGACAUGGUAAAAUACAUCUCAACCACAACAACCUCGACUACGAGCUGUCUCUGAGGUCUCUUCCAAUCUUAAACAUCCCGCCAUCGCUGGAAACGAAUGUUCUAACUCGAUUUUGGCAACGGAAGCAGCAUUAAUUCCUGAGUUUCUACAGUCUCUAGGUGUAAAACAGCAGACACACCAUACCUCAUUGGAUGCGAUUGUAGCACGGAUUGAAGCUUUCUUCACCUCUGGAUGCCCUUCAUCUUCGGAGAGAGCUGCUCUCAAAUAGCCUUGCGACAAAUAUAAUCUUGGAAUUUGUACUCUUGCUAAUUACGUACUUGACUACUAAUUACACAACCUUGUCAAAUAGUUUCUGUAUCAAUCAAUCCAUUCUGAUGAGAAUGAUAUGCAUCUUUCGAACCCAUCUCAUCAAUGCUGCUCAAAUCAGACUUCCAAAAUUAUGUU
rnacentral:lncRNA from 1 species